AGUGAACGCUGGCGGUAGGCCUAACACAUGCAAGUCGAACGGCAGCACAGUAAGAGCUUGCUCUUACGGGUGGCGAGUGACGGACGGGUGAGGAAUACAUCGGAAUCUACUUUUUCGUGGGGGAUAACGUAGGGAAACUUACGCUAAUACCGCAUACGACCUACGGGUGAAAGCAGGGGAUCUUCGGACCUUGCGCGAUUGAAUGAGCCGAUGUCGGAUUAGCUAGUUGGCGGGGUAAAGGCCCACCAAGGCGACGAUCCGUAGCUGGUCUGAGAGGAUGAUCAGCCACACUGGAACUGAGACACGGUCCAGACUCCUACGGGAGGCAGCAGCGGGGAAUAUUGGACAAUGGGCGCAAGCCUGAUCCAGCCAUACCGCGUGGGUGAAGAAGGCCUUCGGGUUGUAAAGCCCUUUUGUUGGGAAAGAAAAGCAGCAGGUUAAUACCCCGCUGUUCUGACGGUACCCAAAGAAUAAGCACCGGCUAACUUCGUG
rnacentral:rRNA from 1 species